AACUUUUCUGAAAACCAUAGAAGCUGCAGCUAGAGCUGCUGCUGUUUCAGCUGCAACAUCAGAACCGGGGUUAGAAGGGGAUACAGAGUAAACUGUACGAGGUGUGUCCAUGUCCUCAGGCCGUUCCCAGCAUUUGUGAUCAACAUUAGGAUCUCCUACCCCAACGUAAAGCUUUCCCGGAGUGGCUCUAGCACAUUUCAGCAGAUAAUCCGUGGCCCAACGGAUGUUCACACGUGCAUUUUGCAGCUCAGGACCCAUCCGCUUACCGUACUCAAGUGCGCUCCAUGAGAGCAUCGUGGUGGUAAACGCCAUUGGGAAGUUGAACUUAACGUUGUCUCCUGCGUCAUAGUACCCGCCGGCUAAAUUGUUUAGGGUGUAUACAUGAGCGGAGGAGCCAUCAGAAAGGCCAGAGCUAGCCCUCCAUGAGAGUUGUUGGCCUCUAGGAAGGCGACCAGAUCGCUGACCUUGGAAGAAGAGCAAUGACUUGGAGAGAGCUUCUCUGUAGUUUGGGUUGGCAUCAACAUUGCCUUUGAGAAGAGACGAGAAAAGGAAAACAAAGAAGAAAGGAGAAGCCAUUUUCCAAAGACAGAAGUAAAUUGCUUUUGAGGGUUUUGAGGUACGAAUCUAUUACGUGCAGGUCCACAUAUAUAUAGAGAAAGGGAAAGAUCCAGAGUUAAGAGAGAUAGGAGAGAGAAUGAUCCGGCGCUGAUGGAAGCGAUAAAUAUGGCUUUUUGGGUAAUCAACGUGCUCCUAAACAAAGUAACCUUAAUUUCUCCAAUCCAAAUCCUCUUCUUUUUUUUAAUAUUUUAUGACUAAUCCUUACCUUAGUUUAGCCUAACCAAAUCCUCCUUUUCUCUUUUCGGUCUAUUGUUAUAACUUUACAGCGGUUGGGGUGGACAAAUCCAUCUGCGGAUUAGACCGCUUUUUAUUUACCAUUCAUUAUGCGUAGUCCACAGUGGUGCGGUCUACAGAAAACAGAAACAAAACCGCAGCAGUCCAAUUGCGGACCGUUUUUCCUUAUAAAUAGAGUUGGAUCACAGCGGUCCAUUAUCCACACUUAAAACAGAACGGUCUAGUUCGCAAACAGAUUUGUCCGCCGCCCUGACCGUAGUUACCAUUCAGACUUUUAGUCUUCUUUAUCUAUUCAAAUUCCUCUUUAUGUUUCUUUGUAAAUCUUUUAUCUUAAAGUGUUGAAAAAUGGAAUAAACUAGGAUUUUUGGCCUUA